rnacentral:rRNA from 1 species
UACAGAGGUCUCAAGCGUUGUUCGGAUUCAUUGGGCGUAAAGGGUGCGUAGGCGGCGCGGUAAGUCGGGUGUGAAAUCUCGGAGCUUAACUUCGAAACUGCAUUCGAUACUGCCGUGCUUGAGGACUGGAGAGGAGACUGGAAUUUACGGUGUAGCGGUGAAAUGCGUAGAUAUCGGAAGGAAGACCAGGGGCGAAGGCGGGUCUCUGGACAGUUCCGGAGGCUGAGGUACGAAGGCCAGGGGAGCAAACGGG